UACAGAGGUCUCGAGCGUUUGUUCGGAUUCAUUGGGCGUAAAGGGUGCGUAGGUGGCGCUGUAAGUCAGGUGUGAAAUUUCGGAGCUUAACUCCGAAACUGCAUUUGAUACUGCGGUGCUUGAGGACUGGAGAGGAGACUGGAAUUUACGGUGUAGCAGUGAAAUGCGUAGAGAUCGUAAGGAAGACCAGUGGCGAAGGCGGGUCUCUGGACAGUUCCUGACACUGAGGCAACGAAGGCCAGGGGAGCAAACGGG
rnacentral:rRNA from 1 species